CCGACGAGCGGCGGACGGGUGAGUAAUGCAUAGGAAUCUGCCCAGUCGUGGGGGAUAACCUGGGGAAACCCAGGCUAAUACCGCAUACGUCCUACGGGAGAAAGCGGGGGCUUCGUGUUCUUCGGAAUGGGGACCUCGCGCGAUUGGAUGAGCCUAUGUCGGAUUAGCUGGUUGGUGAGGUAACGGCUCACCAAGGCGACGAUCCGUAGCUGGUCUGAGAGGAUGAUCAGCCACACCGGGACUGAGACACGGCCCGGACUCCUACGGGAGGCAGCAGUGGGGAAUAUUGGACAAUGGGCGCAAGCCUGAUCCAGCCAUGCCGCGUGUGUGAAGAAGGCUUUCGGGUUGUAAAGCACUUUCAGUGGGGAAGAAGGCCUGGCGGUCAAUACCCGCCAGGGACGACAUCACCCACAGAAGAAGCACCGGCUAACUCCGUGCCAGCAGCCGCGGUAAUACGGAGGGUGCGAGCGUUAAUCGGAAUUACUGGGCGUAAAGCGCGCGUAGGCGGCCAAGUAAGCCGGUUGUGAAAGCCCCGGGCUCAACCUGGGAAUGGCAUCCGGAACUGGUUGGCUAGAGUGCAGGAGAGGAAGGUAG
rnacentral:rRNA from 1 species